AUGUCUGGCAGCGUCGGCGAAAGCAGAAGCAGCCGCCGCCGCACCGCGGCGAAGUCCCCGCGCUACGACCGCAGCAUCACCGUCUUCUCCCCCGAGGGCCGCGUCUUCCAAGUCGACUACGCCCGCAACUCCGUGAAGCUGGAGGGGAUCACCUCCGUCGCCGUGCGCGGCGCCGACUCCGUCUGCGUCAUCACCCAGCGGACCAAGGCACCGGCGGACCCGUUGCUGGACACAGCGGACCCCCCCUUCAUGCACCUGUUCCAGAUCACCGAGCGGCUUGGUAUGCUCGCCACGGGGAUGCCAGGACAUGAUGAUACACUGCCAUUUUAUCUGUCUACUUCUGUUUUAUUGACGGGCAUUUUCGUCACUGAAGCUGAUGGGAGAGCAUUAGCUCAGCAGGCAAGGAACGAAGCUGCAGGGUUCCGUUACAAGUGGGGAUAUGAAAUGCCUCCUAAGAUGUUGGCGCAAUGGUUGGGAGACAGAGCACAAGUCCGCACCCAGCAUGAUGGCAUGAGACCUUACAGAGUUGUUGCUACGGUCGUGGGAAUUGAUGAAGAGAAAGGAACUCCAGAGCUCUUUACAUGUGAUCCCGCUGGACAAGUCCUUGGCCACAAGGCAACCAGCGUAGGUCUCGAGGAUCAGGAAGCUAUCGAGUUUCUCGAGGAAGCAAUGGCGGGCAAUUCCUCUUUAUCAUUCCAGGAAACCAUGGAGAUGGCAGUGUCUGCACUGCGACACGUCCUGGAGGAUAAUAACCAAGGCCAUGACAUCGAGGUGGGAGUUGUCAGGAAGAAUUAUCCGACAUUCAGAACUGUGUUGAGGCGCAUCUACAAAAAUCCGCUUGCAGGGCAGAACAUCCUGGAUGGAGAAGGCCAGUAA
rnacentral:rRNA from 1 species